rnacentral:rRNA from 1 species
UACGGAGGGAGCUAGCGUUAUUCGGAAUUACUGGGCGUAAAGCGCACGUAGGCGGCUUUGUAAGUAAGAGGUGAAAGCCCGGAGCUCAACUCCGGAAUUGCCUUUAAGACUGCCGAGCUAGCAGGUGAGAGAGGUGAGUGGAAUUCCGAGUGUAGAGGUGAAAUUCGUAGAUAUUCGGAAGAACACCAGUGGCGAAGGCGGCUCACUGGCUCAUACUGGACGCUGGAGGUGCGAAAGCGUCGGGGAGCAAACAGG